CAUCUAUGAACAUUUGAACAUCUUGGCCAUGUUCUGUUAUAAUCUCCACCUGGCAUAGCCAGAAGAGGACUGGCCACCCCUCAUAGCCUGGUUCCUCUCUAGGUUUCUUCCUAGGUUCUGGCCUUUCUAGGGAGUUUUUACUAGCCACCGUGCUUCUACAUCUGCAUUGUUUGCUGUUUGGGGUUUUAGGCUGGGUUUCUGUACAGCACUUUGUGACAUUGGCUGAUGUAAAAAGGGCUUUAUAAAUACAUUUGAUUGAUUGAAUGUUCUUACCACAUUCCCAUGAAGCAUGUCUAGAGCAUAUCUUAAAUUCUGAGAACAUGGUAACCACAUUCUGGGUAAGUUCUAUUUGACAUUAAUGGAAUGGUUUCUUGGAAGCAUUCCUUGCUCAUAACGGGAACAUUCCUAUGAAAGCAUUAGUUAAUGGUCUACUGAGACUCUUAAGGGAACAUGUUUUGUUAGCUGGGCUGUUACAUUAAAUGAAGUGCCCCUCUGUGGUGAGGUCACCAAUGUGAUAGGUGACCAUAGAUGGUUUCUAGAUGCAUGGAAGGGUUAAUUUGACCGAGAACAGUGUGAGCCUCACCCCCUCUAACCUGCUGAAGUAAUGGCGACAAUGGCGUUCAUUAUGGCCCUGUCCUUCACCACUUCUACCUGAGUCCGAGCCAGCAACCUGUACACAGCAUCCAGUCUAAGCUAUCAACUGCCUUUUCUCUCAGGAGGGCAGCAUGAGUCCAUGUGGAGUGUGUAUGGAGAGAUCCCGUCCAAACUUCUCUCAUGCUGCUGGUGUACUGGUCAGAAAAUGGACAAGACUUAAUGCACCGUAAAGGAUGGUGGUGGCGGCUCAGGUGAGAGAUUUGUCUGCUUGGGAAAAAACGGAUUAUUCCCAGAUAUUGGAAUCGGGACAUUAUCAAGGGCCAUCCACUUUGAACAUGUGCCAUUGAGAAGACAAACUGAAACACUAUUUGAAGAAGAAAAUGAAGAAACGCCAGAAGAAUGAGUGCCGGGAAGGAGAGGGGUGGUCAAGUGUGCCUGUAAUUGCUUUAUGCUUGUCCAAAAGUUUUAUUUGGGGUAUCAGGUUGAUUGUGGAGGUCUGUACACUGCAAAAUGUAUAGUAAUUUAUACAAAAAAUGCAUUGAGAUACCGACUUGUCAUUAACACAGGGACAAAUGGGGGCUGUGAUGAGAAAAUGUAAUGAAAUAUAAGAUGAAAAUAAUGUAUGCCAAUGUUAGUAGUGCAUGCUGUAUAUUUAUUUCCCUGUCUGUAAAUGUAUAUUCUGCCAGUGUGUACCAAGUUGAGGGUCUUAAAUUCGAGAGAGACUCAACGCGACGCAGUAGGGACUGUUAUUUUAAAUUUGGGUUGGAUAAUUUAUCAAUAGUUCUAGUCACUCUCUUAGGAACAUGAAGGAAGAAGACAAAGUCAAAAGCUCCAGCUGAAAUGUCAUUGCCAGAAUCCAUAAAUGAAGUUGUGUAAUCAAGCAUAUGUGUAACUGUAUGAAAUUAAGGUCUUAAGUUAAAACAUUCUACUGCAAUGGUUUUACAAGUAAGGGGUAUGGAAUAAGGAUCAGUUACUAGUUGGAGUGUACAACCCAGAAUGAAGGGUUUGAAAGUGUCUGUGGUUUUUAUGCGCUAAUUUUGUUUACUUAUAAUGAUGUAUUUUGAUAGUUUAAGCAAUAACCAAAUGAAUAAAAUGUAAUAAUAAUUAUCACAGUGAUAAGAGGAGGGAGUAUACCAGAAUGUUUUUUUGUCUGAAGUGAUAGUCUUUAAUUGUACAUUUUGUCUCAUAUAAUCAUUGGUUUCUAUAGGUGAUGGGUAGAGAUAUGAGGGGGAGACGGUCCCCUCUUCAGACUUUUUGUCAGAACGCCCAGAAUAAGUUUUAUAAAUUUAGGUAGGAGACGGUGCCAGUCACAUGCAGGAACCAACCCUAUGAACCAUGCCUAUGUAGAUUUUUUGUAUAGCCGUAUAUAAGAGAACUAACGGGACUGCCCCGGCAUAGCUCCUGACAGAUGUGUACUAUGGUGCAUUAAGUUUGUUGGAACCGCUCCAACUUGCUGAUAAUAAAGAAUGAUUCAUUUGAGUUUGA